AGACCUCUAAUCGGAAAGGACUACCCGCUGAGUUUAA
rnacentral:rRNA from 1 species